UACGGAGGAUGCAAGCGUUAUCCGGAAUGAUUGGGCGUAAAGCGUCCGCAGGUGGCUGUGUAAGUCUGCUGUCAAAGAGCGAAGCUCAACUUCGUAAAGGCAGUGGAAACUACACGGCUAGAGUGCGUUCGGGGCAGAGGGAAUUCCUGGUGUAGCGGUGAAAUGCGUAGAGAUCAGGAAGAACACCGGUGGCGAAGGCGCUCUGCUAGGCCGCAACUGACACUGAGGGACGAAAAGCUAGGGGGAGCGAAUGGG
rnacentral:rRNA from 1 species